rnacentral:lncRNA from 1 species
CUUCAAUAACUACAAUAUAAAUUACAAAAAGUACAUGUGGAUGUGUUAAAAGACUGCCAAUACUGCUAAAAACAAACACUCCACACUGGAAAAAGCAACAGAAUAAAAGAGGAAGAGGAAAACAGAAGUGAGAUGUGAAAACAAGUGCGUGUUGGCAGGGAGCCAAUCACAUUUUGAGAGAAAACCAUGCGAUAGCAGCUAGCCAAUCACACUUUGAUAUACAUAUUGAUGUGUCUUGUGCCAUUGAACAGGAGAAAAAGUUUUAAAAGAGGAUGGUGAUAGUAAUGGGAUGGUGGGGGGGGGGGAGGAAGCACUUCCCCCUCAAAAACAACCUAACUAACCUAAAAAGGGACUCGGAUUUUUGUUGUUCUCCCCUCUUUAAAAAAAAUAAAAAAUGAGAAUUUAAAUAAAUAAAUAAAGAGCAGAGAGUCUGGGGUGAAGUGGCGAUCCCAGGGAAUGGCAUGUGCUGGUUCAGGGCUCUCUUCUAGGCACCGCCAUUUUAUUUUUUAAGCGAAUAAUUUACGGUAAAAUAAAAUUAAAAGGGGGGGGUGGAAAAUGUGUUUUUAAGUAAUUUUUUUAAAAAAAUUAGUAAUAAUAGUAAUUUGGGGAAAGGAAUUAAGACUUAACAAGUAAAAAUAAAAGUAAAAGAUUGCUGUAGCGGCAAUGGCCCCCUUUUUAAAAAAAGUUUUAAAAAUAUUAAAAAAUAAAAGAAGAUAAAAUGGAAUUAAAAAGAGGGGUUUUCAGUAUUUUGUAUUUUCCCUGCCGGGGUGUGUGUGUUGACCAUGGUGCAUUCUCUUCUCUUCUGUGGUGUCUUUUAUCGCACGGCCUCCGUCUGUGCCCCAGCCUGCUCUUGGCAUGCUAGCCACUGGGGAGGUAGGUUUGGGUCUGGCCUGGGCUUGGCCACAUGUUUCCUUACGGCUUCGUUGCCCUCUCAGUACUCUCCUACCUCUCCUCUUCUUCCCCUGCGGCAGUGGUAAGGUCGGGGCUCUUUUUUUCUUUUUCCACAUUGGCUCUGGGGUCCAGCGGCCCCUGAGCUCCACUGGGCCAUUGUCCGAGUGUUUUCGGUCGCUGGGGGGCGGGGGCGUUGCAGCUCCCUUGGUUGACACACCAGGCACCCCCAGUUCCCCUCCGGUAGUAGAGCUGGCGGUGACAGCCCAGGAGCCGGCCAGGCAGUGUAAUUGGUUCUGACUGGCUUCAGGAGCUGCUUGCCGCCGCAGUGUCCGCCAUGUUGUCUCUGGUCAAAGCCUCCUCCAGUGCCCCAGAUGAUGCACACUGGCCAGAAGGGUUUGGUGCCUUUUCGGCUCAGCAGAAGGGAGGUGGUGGCUGUGGGAGCUUCCUUAGUGGGUUGCCAGCCAUGGCUGCUGUGCUCCCCCCCAAAAAAAGUUUGGCCCGGAGCGGUCCACCCCCACCUCAGCUACGCUAGUGAGAACCAACCCCCUUCACAUCUUCUGGCGCAUCUAAUAUUGUCAAGUAAAUUGGGGUAAGUUGAGAAGUUAAAAACAUUUCCCCCAGAUAUCAUAUUUCAUGCUUACUUCCAAGUUCUGUGGUUUCCCAGGAACUGACUCCGUCUCUCAGUAAUUGCACUAGUCCUACUCUUUUUUCCUGAUGCGCUAAAAGCUAAUUUCUCUUUAGAAAUUGUAUCCCCAACUAAAGUAACUUAAUUAAACACCUUAUUUACUGGCUGCGCUGACGAACAUCCUGAAAGCUUUUCUAAAAAACUUGUGAUUAGCUUUGCUCAUCCUCAGGCCAUCCAAACCAGGAAGUCACCUUUAUUAAUUCUAAAAAAAUAGUAUUUAUUUGCAGUUGGGGGGUGGAUAUGAAAUAAAUAGAAAUCUAUAUUAUAUCUUUGUAAAGUCACGCCUAAUAAAUAAAAAGAGCAUAAUGCGCAGUGUCAAGGUUAAUGGAGUUUGAUUGAAACAGCAAAUCUAGGCAAUGGUAGGUUGUUGUUUUAAAAAACACUCCAAGGAAGAUAAAAUAUGUUGAAUUGUACCAAUUGGAAGGACUCUGCUUGAGUAUUUGUCUAAACCCAGGGGUGCGCUUUGUUUAAUGACCCCCCCCCCUUAUUUGUAAAAGAAUUUCAGGGCAGAAUAAACAGUGAACAUCCAACUUCCAUAUGUUCAAUGUGCUAAAGGCAUUUGGCGAAGCAAGCAGCUUUAUUUGUUUCUAAUUGCUGCAGACUUCAUAACAGGACCUUCCUCUCGUGUACCUCGUAUACCCUGUGGGUUACAAUUGUAAUUCAAUUCCCACAUGAAGUACGCAAAGACAGAACUUCACAGCAUCGUUUGCGCCAUAAUAUUGUGUGCUAAGAGCCCAGAUGUUGACUCUUUUUACAUGUGUUCAUGUGUGUCAUGUCAGUUUCUAUAGUUAAGGCC